rnacentral:tRNA from 1 species
GCCCACGUAGCUCAGUGGAUAGAGCACCGGUUUCCUAAACCGGGUGUCGCAGGUUCGAUUCCUGCCGUGGGUA